GGAGAGGUGGCAGAGCGGUUGAAUGCAGCGGUCUUGAAAACCGCCGGCCCGCAAGGGCUCGUGGGUUCGAAUCCCACCCUCUCCGCCA
rnacentral:tRNA from 1 species